rnacentral:rRNA from 1 species
UACGAAGGGGGCUAGCGUUGCUCGGAAUCACUGGGCGUAAAGGGUGCGUAGGCGGGUCUUAAGUCAGGGGUGAAAUCCUGGAGCUCAACUCCAGAACUGCCUUUGAUACUGAAGAUCUUUGAGUUCCGGGGAGAGGUGAGGUGGUAACUGCGAGUGUAGAGGUGAAAUUCGUAGAUAUUCGCAAGAACACCAGUGGCGAAGGCGGCUCACUGGCCCGAUACUGACGCUGAGGCUACGAAAGCGUGGGGAGCAAACAGG